rnacentral:scRNA from 1 species
ACCCUGGCGGACACCGGCGUCAGGUUCAAAAA